rnacentral:rRNA from 1 species
AACCGCAAAGGGCUCAGUAAACCAGUUUUAAUUUACUAGAGUUUUCACGUUUCGUACGUGGAUACCUGUGGUAAUUCUAGAGCUAAUACAUGCAAUUAAGUCCGGACCAGAAAUGGAAAGGAUGCUUUUAUUAGAUCAAAACCAUUCGCCCGACUUGUUCGGGCGUUGUUUUGGUGAAUCUAGAUAACACUUGAGAUCGUACAGUCAUCGUACUGACGACAUCUCUUUCAAACGCCUGACUUAUCAGCUGUCGAUGGUAGACUCUGUGUCUACCAUGGCCCUCACGGGUAACGGGGAAUCAGGGUUCGAUUCCGGAGAGGGAGCCUGAGAAACGGCUACCACAUCCAAGGAAGGCAGCAGGCACGCAAAUUACCCACUCCCGGCACGGGGAGGUAGUGACAAAAAAUAACGAUACGGGACUCUAUUGAGGCCCCGUAAUCGGAAUGAGUACACUUUAAAUCCUUUAACAAGGAUCCAUUGGAGGGCAAGUCUGGUGCCAGCAGCCGCGGUAAUUCCAGCUCCAAUAGCGUAUAUUAAAGUUGUUGCGGUUAAAAAGCUCGUAGUUGGUUCUGCGUGCCGCGCUGUCGGUUCGCCGCCUGUCGGUGUAACUGGCAUGUCGCGGCAUGUCCUGUCGGUGGUGAACGGGGUCCCCGGUACUGCUAGCGGCUUAACGGCCAAAGUUUGUACCGUGUGUGUUCCCGUUUGCCGAUCUCUCCUACUCCGGUGCUCUUAAACGAGUGUCGAGGUAGGCCGACACGUUCACUUUGAACAAAUUAGAGUGCUUAAAGCAGGCUGAAAUAUCUGCCUGAAUAGUGGUGCAUGGAAUGAUAAAAUAGGACCUCGGUUCUAUUUUGUUGGUUUUAGGAAUAUGAGGUAAUGAUCAAUGUGGACAGGCGGGGGCAUUCGUAUUGCGACGUUAGAGGUGAAAUUCUUGGAUCGUCGCAAGACGCACUAGACGAGAA